rnacentral:rRNA from 1 species
CGCCAACUAGCUAGCCCACAUAAACAAAAACAACAAUCCAAUAUUGAUAACCCCUAAUAUACUACAACACAUAAAAUCAAAUCAUUUUACCCCCUUAGUAUGGGCGACAGAAAAGGGAAAAAGGAGCAACAGAGAGAGUACCGCAAGGGAACGCUGAAAGAGUAAUGAAAUAAUCCAGUAAAGCUUAAAAAAGCAGAGACUUCCCCUCGUACCUUUUGCAUCAUGAUUUAGCUAGUAAUACCCAAGCAAAGAGCCCUUUAGUUUGGAACCCCGAAACUAUGUGAGCUACUCCAAGACAGCCUAAUUUUAUAGGGCUAACCCGUCUCUGUGGCAAAAGAGUGGGAAGAGCUUUGAGUAGAGAUGAUAGAUCUACCGAACCUAGUUAUAGCUGGUUGCCUGAGAAUUGAAUAAAAGUUCAGCCUCCACACUUCUCUUUUCCUUCUGGCCCUCCCCCCACCGAUAUUAGAAGAAGUCUGGAGAGUUAGUCAAAGGGGGUACAGCCCCUUUGAAACAAGACACAACUUUCCCAGGUGGGUUAAGAUCAUAAUAUUUAAGGUUAAAUGUUCGAGUGGGCCUGAAAGCAGCCAUCUCCACAGAAAGCGUUAAAGCUUAUGCAUGAUUUAUUCCAUACAUCUUGGUAUUCUUAUCUCAACCCCCUAGUGUUAUCAGGCCUUCCCAUGCGAACAUGGGAGUGUUUAUGCUAAUAUGAGUAACAAGAGGGCUAACCCCCCUCUCCUUGCACACGUGUAAAUCGGAACGAACCCCCACCGAAACUUAACGGCCCCAGAUAAAGAGGGAAAUGGAUAACAAAUAAAGCACGAGAAGAACAUCCAGAGAUUAACCGUUAACCCCACACUGGUGUGCCCCUAAGGAAAGACUAAAAGAAAAAGAAGGAACUCGGCAAAAAUUUCAAGCCCCGCCUGUUUACCAAAAACAUCGCCUCUUGCAAAUCAAGAAUAAGAGGUCCAGCCUGCCCUGUGACUAUAUGUUUAACGGCCGCGGUAUCCUAACCGUGCGAAGGUAGCGCAAUCACUUGUCUCUUAAAUGGGGACCUGUAUGAAUGGCACGACGAGGGUUUAACUGUCUCCUUUUUUAAGUCAGUGAAAUUGAUCUCCCCGUGCAGAAGCGGGGAUAAUAACAUAAGACGAGAAGACCCUAUGGAGCUUUAGACACUAAGGCAUAUCACGUUAAACACCCCCAGAGAAAGGACUGAACUAAAUGACCUAUGCCCCCAUGUCUUAGGUUGGGGCGACCCCGAGGAAAUGAAAAACCCCCGAGUGGACUGGGAGAAGAAUCUCCUACAACUAAGAGCUACAGCUCUAAGUAACAGAAUUUCUGACCAAAAAAGAUCCGGCGCCGCCGAUCGACGGACCAAGUUACCCUAGGGAUAACAGCGCAAUCCCCUUUUAGAGCUCAUAUCGACAAGGGGGUUUACGACCUCGAUGUUGGAUCAGGACAUCCCAAUGGUGCAGAAGCUAUUAAAGGUUCGUUUGUUCAACGAUUAAAGUCCUACGUGAUCUGAGUUCAGACCGGAGCAAUCCAGGUCAGUUUCUAUCUAUGAUAUAUACUUUUCUAGUACGAAAGGACCGAAAAGCAGGGGCCAAUGCUUAAAGCACGCCUCCCCCUUCCUAUUGAAUACAACUAAAAUAGACAAAAGGGUGUAUUCUCUUCCGAGCCAAAGAUAAUGGCCGU